AUGACCCCCUCCUACAGCUCCCCUCCUCCUCUAUGUGCGAGCACCACCGGCGAAGCAUCACCGCUGCCCCAGCUCCACUCCUCCAUGCGAUUAGUACUGCGCGGGCAGGGGAUGAGCUCCACUUUGACUCCCUGGUCGUCGUUGACCACCUCUCCUGAUGUGCAUUUUGAUUUUGUGGUUUCUUGUUCAUGUUUGUGUAGUUCAAAACAUGUUUCCUGUGAUGUGGGAUGUGCAGUUGUAUGCAAUUGUGAUAGUGGGAAAAAUGCAGCUCACUCACCCGGCGGUGAUUCACUUCAAGUUCGCACAACUCUAGAAAAGCAUGUCGUUCGCUUCGCGGGGGAGAAAAGUUCGCUUGCUAUUCCAGAAAAAAUUGAACGUAUAAAGGGUCGAGCAGUUCAUCUCAUAUCACGUCGCGCUCAUUUUUUUUAG
rnacentral:rRNA from 1 species